AUCGAACGCUGGCGGCGUGCUUAACACAUGCAAGUCGAACGGUAAGACGCCUUCGGAUGCUGGCGAGUCGCAAGCGGGAGAGAAACGCAGCUGAUCGUCCCUGAUCUUGGGGGUUAACGACGCGAACGCGUUGCAAAUCCGGAUUGCACUACAGGCAGAAAAGCUGGGGACGGCAAGCUCUUGCGCGAAGGGAGGGGGCGAUGGCAGAUCAGGUAGUUGGUGGGGUAAUGGCUUACCAAGCCUACGAUGUGUAGCUGGUCUGAGAGGACGACCAGCCACACUGGGACUGAGACACGGCCCAGACUCCUACGGGAGGCAGCAGUGGGGAAUUUUGGACAAUGGGCGCAAGCCUGAUCCAGCAAUGCCGCGUGCAGGAUGAAGGCCUUCGGGUUGUAAACUGCUUUUGUACGGAACGAAAAGGCUCUGGUUAAUACCUGGGGCUCAUGACGGUACCGUAAGAAUAAGCACCGGCUAACUACGUGCCAGCCGCCGCGGUAA
rnacentral:rRNA from 1 species